UACGGAGGGGGCUAGCGUUGUUCGGAAUUACUGGGCGUAAAGCGCGCGUAGGCGGCUUUGUAAGUUAGAGGUGAAAGCCCGGGGCUCAACCCCGGAAUUGCCUUUAAGACUGCAUCGCUAGAAUCAUGGAGAGGUUAGUGGAAUUCCGAGUGUAGAGGUGAAAUUCGUAGAUAUUCGGAAGAACACCAGUGGCGAAGGCGACUAACUGGACAUGUAUUGACGCUGAGGUGCGAAAGCGUGGGGAGCAAACAGG
rnacentral:rRNA from 1 species